rnacentral:rRNA from 1 species
CAUCACUACGCUAGAUGCAUAUCAAUAAGCGGAGGAAAAGAAACUAACAAGGAUUCCCCUAGUAACGGCGAGUGAAGCGGGAAGAGCUCAAAUUUGAAAUCUUAAAGGUUUUCCCUUGACGAAUUGUAGUUUAAAGAAGUGUUUUCUGUUGAAGUUUUGGUAAAAGUUCUUUGGAAUAGGACAUCAUAGAGGGUGAGAAUCCCGUAUUUGAUCAUUCUUUCUAGCUGUGUGAUACACUUUCAACGAGUCGGAUUGUUUGGGAAUGCAGUCCAAAAUGGGUGGUAAAUUUCAUCUAAAGCUAAAUAUUGGCGAGAGACCGAUAGCGAACAAGUACCGUGAGGGAAAGAUGAAAAGAACUUUGAAAAGAGAGUUAAACAGUACGUGAAAUUGUCAAAAGGGAAGCGUUUGACACCAGUGUUGUUUUCUCGAAAAUCAAUUAAAAAUGAUGGGAUUUUGUGUUGUAUUGACUUUAUCAGCUUUCUGCACUUUUUUCUUAUCUUUUUUAAUGCACUUUUCGUUUAACAAGUCAACAUCAAUUUCUUUUGUUGUAAAAGGGUACGAGGAAGGUGGCUUUCUUUUCGGAGAAAGUGUUUAUAGCCUUGUACCUCUGCAAUCGGAGAGAUUGAGGUCUGCAGCGUAGAUCCUUCGGGGUUAGAUACAUUUGUGCUAAGUUAUAGCUUUUCAUAGACAACUUGUUGACUAUGCUCAGUCAUGUAGCUUACUCGCUUGUGCUAUUUUACCUACGCUUAGGAUGUUGAAGAUAUGCGCGACACG